rnacentral:piRNA from 1 species
UAAAGUCCUGCCUUGGAAGGAAAGCGCCU